rnacentral:rRNA from 1 species
CACGUAGGGCGCGAGCGUUGUCCGGAAUUAUUGGGCGUAAAGCGUCUGUAGGUGGUUUAAAAAGUCCACUGUUAAAGAUUGAAGCUUAACUUCAAAAAUGCCGUGGAAACUUUUAAACUUGAGUAUGAUAGGGGUAGAGGGAAUUUCCAGUGGAGCGGUGAAAUGCGUAGAUAUUGGAAAGACCACCAAUGGCGAAGGCACUCUACUGGGCCAUUACUGACACUGAGAGACGAAAGCUAGGGGAGCAAAUGGG